CAUUCUUAAUGUAGUGCAAUACGAAAAUUUCACACAUGAUCGACGACAUUAUAAGGAAAUAACAUAGCUUCAUGACCACAUCACACCUCAAUACUCAUUCUCAAUAACAUGCAUUACUCACCAAUCAUAAAGUUUAUAACAUUUUUCUCAUUACCUUUCACUCAUAAUCAUAAUACUCUACAUUAUAAAAUUCCCAGCCCGUGAACACAUGCCCAAAACAUACAAUCCAAUCAGAAUGAAUUUCAGAUUGCUCCCCUUACCUGGCUUCCAAGGCUUCUUUAGGAUUCCUUAACACACCACCUGACGUCUCAUAACAACAUCUAUCCUCCUCCUAGUUUCACGGUUCUAUCUCUUUCUCUAGGCUCCCCC
rnacentral:lncRNA from 1 species